rnacentral:rRNA from 1 species
UUAUCUAAAUUAGUUUGAAAGUUGAGAUUAUAUAGAAGCAUAAAAAGAAUAAGUAGUGUUAACGAAAAUUUUGAAAAACAAUAGAGAAAAAGUACUGUAAAGGAAUAAUUGAAAUAAUUGAAAAUUUCAUAUAAAAAUAAUACUAAUCAAUCUUGGUACCUUUUGUAUCAGCGGCUAUUAAAUUAUAAGCUUAGGCUCAUGUCUCGAAAAUAAAAGAUCUAUAAAAAUUUUCUAGUUUUUGUAUCAGUAAAAUUAAAAAAAUUUUUAUAGGAGUGAAACAUUAAUCGAUUUUAUUAAUAUCUAGUAACUUUAGAAUUAAAUAUAGUUUAGGUUAUAAAUAGGUUUCUUACUAUAAGAGAUACUGUACAAUAAUCUUAGUUUUUAGGGGAUGAGCUCUAAGAACAAAAUAUAAGAAUAAAAGUGCUUUCUAAUUUAUUUUUAAGCUUAGAAUUAGCUAUAGGAUAGUGUUAUAAGAUAUAAGUUUAUGAUUAAGAUUUACUAAUUCUUUUGUUUGUAUAAAGUUAAUUUUUAAACUAGUAAAAAAAUGGAAAUAUGAUAGUAUAAGUAGAUUAUUCUAGAAAAAAAUUUUUUUGAAAGAUUUAGUACUUUUUUAGAAAAAAUAUUUUAGUAAAAGAAUUCGGCAAAUGAAAUCUCCGAAUGUUUAACAAAAACAUUUCCUCUUAGAAUAAGAGGUAAGGCCUGCUCACUGAUAAUUGAAGAGCCGCAGUAUUUUGACUGUGCUAAGGUAGCAUAAUCAUUAGUCUUUUAAUUGGGGACUGGUAUGAAUGGCUAAACGAGAGAAUAACUUUUUUUAUAAAAAAAAUUGAAUUUAACUUUUUAGUGAAAAGGCUAAAAUGACUCAGAAAGACGAGAAGACCCUAUAGAGUUUUAUUUAGUUAUUAUAUAAGUUUUAUUAGAUUUAAAAUAACUUAUUUCUAUCACUAGAUUUUGUUGGGGCGACAUUAAGAUAAAAGAAACUCUUUAUUUUAUAAACUUAAAUUUAAGGAUUGAUUGAUCCUCUAAAAGAGAUCAAAAGAAAAAAUUACCUUAGGGAUAACAGCGUAAUCUUUUUUGAGAGUUCUAAUCGACAAAAAGGUUUGCGACCUCGAUGUUGGACUAAAAUUUAGGCAGGGUGUAGCAGUUCUGCUUUUGGGUCUGUUCGACCCGUAAUAUUUUACACGAUCUGAGUUCAGACCGGCGUAAGCCAGGUUGGUUUCUAUCUUCUGAUUUAAAAAAGUUAGCUUAGUACGAAAGGAUUGGUUAAUAGUAAAAUUUACAGCAAGAAUGAGUGUUAUUAAAAUUUUUUAUAUAA